UACGGGGGGGGCAAGCGUUGUUCGGAAUUACUGGGCGUAAAGGGCUCGUAGGCGCCAACUAAGUCAGACGUGAAAUCCCUCGGCUUAACCGGGGAACUGCGUCUGAUACUGGUUGGCUUGAGUGUGGGAGAGGGAUGCGGAAUUCCAGGUGUAGCGGUGAAAUGCGUAGAUAUCUGGAGGAACACCGGUGGCGAAGGCGGCAAUCUGGACGAUAACUGACGCUGAGGCGCGAAAGCGUGGGGAUCAAACAGG
rnacentral:rRNA from 1 species